rnacentral:rRNA from 1 species
UACGUAGGGUGCGAGCGUUAAUCGGAAUUACUGGGGUAAAGAGCGGUUAGGGGGCCACGCAGGGUCGGUGUGAAAACUGGAGGCUCAACCUUCAGACGUCGACGGAAACCGUGUGGCUAGAGUCCGGAAGAGGAGAGUGGAAUUCCUGGUGUAGCGGUGAAAUGCGCAGAUAUCAGGAAGAACACCAAUGGCGAAGGCAGCUCUCUGGGACGGUACUGACGCUGAGACGCGAAAGCGUGGGGAGCGAACAGG